UUUUAAAUGAAAUAGCAGCGUUAACAGAUUGCUGCUCUGUUUACAGGAAGCUGUAUAUGACUUUACCAGGUAAACGUUAUGUGUGCGUGUGUAUAUAUUUAACCCCUUAAGCACACAUGACGAAGUUGUGUCCUUAAGGGGUUAAUAUAAUUUGGACCAGGGAUCAUCCAACUAUCCUUCCCCAGAUAAUUAAUUCUAGAACAGGUAUAAAUGUUGCUUGCCAAUCCCCUAAAAACACUCCAAUCUAGACACUGUACACCGCCUGCCUUGUACACCAUUGCACAUCAGCCGUUUAAAUGCAGAAUUAAAUGCAGAAAUACUUUAUCUAUAAUAGAGAACUACAGGAAAUAUACAUUGUACUCUGUGAAGUUUAUGAGCAGAUAAGAAUUACCUUUGGAUCCUUUUUUCCUUUGAACUCUAUGUUAUUCGGUUGUUUUUCUUGCAAUCAUUUUUUAUUAUUUAAUAUGUGGCUUUCAAUAAUUCAAUAAUCAUAAACCUUUUCAGUAAUA